ACUUCAUUCAAACUUUAGGAAAAAAACUAAUUAAAUCUUAAAUCCUAAACAAAGUCAAAUAAAACCUUAAAUCCUAAAUCAAAUCCUAACCAAAUCCUAAACUCGAAAUCAAAUCCUAAUCAACCCUAAACCAAAUCCUAACCAAAUCCUAACCCUAAAUUAAAUCCUAACCAAAUCUUAAAUUCUAAAUCAAAUCCUAAUCCUAAAUCAAAUCCUAACCAAAUCUUAACCAAAUUCUAAUCCUAAAUUAAAUCCUAACCAAAUUCUAAUCCUAAAU
rnacentral:lncRNA from 1 species